AUCUGCCUUGGCUUGAUCAUAUUAUCAGCACAAAACCCAACAUCUUAUAUCCAGCCUUGUAUGAUGUUUAUGUCUUCUAAUUUUUCACAUGGUCAUGACAGACCAUGGACAUACCAAUGUCAUUUCCACCUUCAUUAUGAUCGGCAUCAUCCAAUAUUCAGAAAUUCAUUGCCUCAACAAUUCAGGCUGUGAUGAAACUUCUGGAGAAUCAACACAAUAAGAGUAGUUGACUGUUGGACUUUUAUAGGAAGAAAUGGACAGUCUAGUUUUUGACCUCCUAAAGUAUAAGCAGCCUUAAAAGUUGUACUGUUUCUCCAGUGGCUCAGAAAUGCCCAGGAAUUUUUACAAAACAUUUUUAAUGCAAAUCAUGGAAAACUAGUAUCUGGAGAUCAGGUUGUUCUAGAAUUGAUCCUUCAUGUUAGAGGAAGAAUGUCUGCAAGUGUGGAAACAGAAGGCAACGUGAUAGUGAUAAUGCAAUGAAAGAGUUCAAGGUCUUUAAAGAAAGAAGAUGUAUGACUUAAAAAAAAAGUAUGCAUUUCAAGCAGGCAGCAUCAAUAGUGUCAGAGAAUUCUUAGGAGGAAAGAUUUACAGAGGAAGGAUAUGAAGAAAUUAUUGAAGUAAAGAAGUUUCUGUACAGAAACAAGUAAAAAUCAUACCAAUACAAAGGAACAGUAGGAAAUGCACAAGAGAAUCAUUUCACAAAACUAACAGCUGUUUAGUGACCAAAAAAUUCCAAAAGAAGAAUCCAGAAAUGUUGGGACAAAUUCAGAAUUCCUGACGAGCAAAACAAGAUGCCGUUCACAAGAUGCAUGAAAGAGUUGAGAUUUCAGAAGACCAGAGAAGUGCAAAUGCAAGGUGGAUGAAACCAAGGCAAGAGAUCCAAGAAAUUCUACUCCAGUCAUCUUUACUUCACCUCUCUGUGAGGGACAGUGAAACAGACUAUUCAUAGGCACCUCAAAGAAGACCAGAAGGUAUUUAGGCAGCAUGGUUCAAAGAAAAAUCAUGUCCCACCAUUUCAUCUAUGAGACAGUGUACUAGCCUAGGACAAGAGAGAGGCAUUAGACAUUACUACUCCUAAAUAAAUGCUACACUGCUUUGUCA
rnacentral:lncRNA from 1 species